UAGGGUGCAAGCGUUAUCCGGAUUUACUGGGUGUAAAGGGCGAGUAGACGGCGUUGCAAGUCAGAUGUGAAAACAUAUGGCUCAACCGUAGGACUGCAUCUGAAACUGUAAUGCUAGAGUGCAGGAGAGGUAAGCGGAAUUCCUAGUGUAGCGGUGAAAUGCGUAGAUAUUAGGAGGAACACCAGUGGCGAAGGCGGCUUACUGGACUGUAACUGACGUUGAGGAGCGAAAGUGUGGGGAGCAA
rnacentral:rRNA from 1 species